AGAAGAAGGAGGAGGAGGAGGAGGAGGAGGAGGAGGAGGAGGAGGAAGAGGAGAAGAAGAAGGAGGAGGAGGAGAAAGAAGAAGGAGAACGGUGAUCUCUAAUGAAAUUCGGGCCACCAUGGUUGACCAUGUGCUCAACCAUGGUUUGAGCAUGAGGGAGGCUGGCCAGAGGGUCCAACCAAAUCUCAGCCGCUUCACUGUUGCUGCCAUCAUUAGAACCUUUAGAAUGGAGAACAGGACUGAAAGAGAACCACACCGUGGAGGAAGAACAUGCACUUUCACAGCCAAACAGGAUACUGACAUUGUGAAAAUGGUUCGUGAAAACAACACUAUCACACUCCGACAGAUACAAACCAGGAUCCUGGCUGACCAUGCCACAUUCAGAAACAUGGGGGAAUGGAAUGCCCCAGGAAUGCCAUGCGGAUGAAACAAGUGUACAGGGUCCUAUUUGACUGAAACACAGACCACAUCAAGGAGUUACGGCAAGAGUUUGUGCUUCGGAUCCAGGAGCAUGACACAGCUAAUGAGCUAUAUGAAUACAUAUUCAUUGAUGAGGUUGGAUUCAACCUGGUGAAGAGGAGGCUCCGGGGCAGAAAUGUCAUUGGCCAGCCCGCCAUUGUUGAGGUCCCCGGCCAGCGUGAUGGGAACAUCACU